GAACGGCAGCACGGACUUCGGUCUGGUGGCGAGUGGCGAACGGGUGAGUAAUGUAUCGGAACGUGCCUAGUAGCGGGGGAUAACUACGCGAAAGCGUAGCUAAUACCGCAUACGCCCUACGGGGGAAAGCAGGGGAUCGUAAGACCUUGCACUAUUAGAGCGGCCGAUAUCGGAUUAGCUAGUUGGUGGGGUAAUGGCUCACCAAGGCGACGAUCCGUAGCUGGUUUGAGAGGACGACCAGCCACACUGGGACUGAGACACGGCCCAGACUCCUACGGGAGGCAGCAGUGGGGAAUUUUGGACAAUGGGGGAAACCCUGAUCCAGCCAUCCCGCGUGUGCGAUGAAGGCCUUCGGGUUGUAAAGCACUUUUGGCAGGAAAGAAACGCCGCGGGUUAAUACCCUGCGGAACUGACGGUACCUGCAGAAUAAGCACCGGCUAACUACGUGCCAGCAGCCGCGGUAAUACGUAGGGUGCAAGCGUUAAUCGGAAUUACUGGGCGUAAAGCGUGCGCAGGCGGUUCGGAAAGAAAGAUGUGAAAUCCCAGAGCUUAACUUUGGAACUGCAUUUUUAACUACCGAGCUAGAGUGUGUCAGAGGGAGGUGGAAUUCCGCGUGUAGCAGUGAAAUGCGUAGAUAUGCGGAGGAACACCGAUGGCGAAGGCAGCCUCCUGGGAUAACACUGACGCUCU
rnacentral:rRNA from 1 species